CCUACGGGUGGCAGCAGUGGGGAAUAUUGGGCAAUGGACGCAAGUCUGACCCAGCAACGCCGCGUGAAGGAAGAAGGCUUUCGGGUUGUAAACUUCUUUUAAGGGGGAAGAGCAGAAGACGGUACCCCUUGAAUAAGCCACGGCUAACUACGUGCCAGCAGCCGCGGUAAUACGUAGGUGGCACGCGUUGUCCGGAUUUACUGGGGGUAAAGGGCGUGGAGCCGGAGAGACAAGUCAGAUGUGAAAUCCACGGGCUCAACCCGUGAACUGCAUUUGAAACUGUUUCCCGUGAGGGUCGGAGAGGUAAUGGGAAUUGCUAGUGUAGAGGUGAAAGGCGUAGAUAUGAGGAAGAAAACCAGUGGCGAAGGAGGAUUACUGGACGAUAACUGACGGUGAGGCGCGAAAGCGUGGGGAGAAAACAGGAUUAGAUACCCGGGUAGUC
rnacentral:rRNA from 1 species